CUUUAUGAUGACAAAAGGCGAUAGUGCCUGAUCUAAUCCCAGCUCGUUGAAUGCCUCACCAAACAACGCAAGAGUGCAUACUGAGAUAAAAAUUCGUCUGACUCC
rfam:Valsa mali strain 03-8 chromosome 2, whole genome shotgun sequence.